rnacentral:rRNA from 1 species
CGCCUUUGUUUACAAAAACAUGUCUUUUUGAUUAUAAUUUAAGGUCUGACCUGCUCACUGAAUUAUUUUAAAGAGCCGCGGUAUUAUGACCGUGCAAAGGUAGCAUAAUCAUUAGUCUUUUAAUUUGAGGCUGGAAUGAAUGGUUUGACGAGGGGGGGACUGUCUCAAUUUUAAUUAAUAAAAUUUAACUUUUAAGUUAAAAGGCUUAAAUUUGAUUUUAGGACGAAAAGACCCUAUAGAACUUUAUAUAUUAUUUAUAACUGAUUUGCUGUUAUUUUAUUUCAUUUUAUUAAGAUUAUAUUUUGUUGGGGUGACAUGAAGAAUAAUUAAAACUCUUUAUUUUUAGUAUCAUUUAUUUAUGAUUGUUUGAUCCAUAAUUUGUGAUUAUAAGAUUAAGUUACCUUAGGGAUAACAGCGUAAUUGUCUUUUAGAGUUCUUAUCAACAAGACUGAUUGCGACCUCGAUGUUGGAUUAAGAUUAGUACUAGGUGUAUCAGUUUAGUAACUAGGUCUGUUCGGCCUUUGAAUA